rnacentral:rRNA from 1 species
CCUACGGGCGGCAGCAGUGAGGAAUAUUGGUCAAUGGCGGAAGCCUGAACCAGCCAAGUAGCGUGCAGGAUGACGGCCCUACGGGUUGUAAACUGCUUUUAUACGGGAAUAACGCGCCUUACGUGUAGGGCUUUGCAUGUACCGUAUGAAUAAGGACCGGCUAAUUCCGUGCCAGCAGCCGCGGUAAUACGGAAGGUCCGGGCGUUAUCCGGAUUUAUUGGGGUUAAAGGGAGCGUAGGCCGCAUGUCAAGCGUGCUGUGAAAUGUCCGGGCUCAACCCGGGCCUUGCAGCGCGAACUGGCGUGCUUGAGUCCGCGGAAAGCAGGCGGAAUUCGUCGUGUAGCGGUGAAAUGCUUAGAUAUGACGAAGAACCCCGAUUGCGAAGGCAGCUUGCUGCAGCGGAACUGACGCUGAUGCUCGAAAGCGCGGGUAUCGAACAGGAUUAGAUACCCCAGUAGUC